rnacentral:rRNA from 1 species
AUUGAACGCUGGCGGCAGGCCUAACACAUGCAAGUCGAGCGCGUGGCGGACGGGUGAGUAAUGUAUGGGGACUGCCCGAUAGAGGGGGAUAACUACUGGAAACGGUGGCUAAUACCGCAUACUCUCGGUUACCCUCUAUGGGAUUAGCUAGUAGGUGGGGUAAAGGCUCACCUAGGCGACGACCUCUAGCUGGUCUGAGAGGAUGAUCAGCCACACUGGGACUGAGACACGGCCCAGACUCCUACGGAGGCAGCAGUGGGGAAUAUUGCACAAUGGGCGCAAGCCUGAUGCAGCCAUGCCGCGUGGAUGAAGAAGGCCUUAGGGUUGUAAAGUACUUUCGGCGGGGAGGCGUUACCCGCAGAAGAAGCACCGGCUAACUCCGUGCCAGCAGCCGCGGUAAUUC